rnacentral:rRNA from 1 species
UAGGGCGAAAGCCUGAAGCAGCAACGCCGCGUGCGUGAUGAAGGUCUUCGGAUCGUAAAGCGCUUUUCUGGGAGAUGAGAAAGGACAGUAUCCCAGGAAUAAGUCUCGGCUAACUACGUGCCAGCAGCCGCGGUAAAACGUAGGAGGCAAGCGUUAUCCGGAUUCACUGGGCGUAAAGCGCGUGCAGGCGGUGCGGUAAGUUGGGCGUGAAAUCUCCCGGCUCAACUGGGAGAGGUCGUCCAAUACUACCGUACUUGAGAGCAGAAGAGGAAGAUGGAAUUCCCGGUGUAGUGGUGAAAUGCGUAGAUAUCGGGAGGAACACCAGUGGCGAAGGCGAUCUUCUGGUCUGUUUCUGACGCUCAGACGCGACAGCUAGGGUAGUAAACGGGAUUAGAGACCCCGGUAAUCCUAGCCGUAAACGAUGUGAACUUGGCGUUGGUGGGUUAAACUCCAUCAGUGCCGUAGCAAACGCGAUAAGUUCACCGCCUGGGGACUACGGCCGCAAGGUUA